UUUUUGAGGACAAGCUUGGUAAUUCAAGAGAGAUUACACAUAUUUUUGUGUUUCAGUCUGUCUUUCUCAGACUUAAGCCCAGUUCUGUUUUCUAGCUUUUAUACCUAAUUAUAGGCAGUGUUUUGAGAAUGUCAUGUCCUGUGAUGCUUGAAAUCUUGCCCUGAAUCUACUACUAUACUGUAUGGGCAGGGGAAUGUUUCAGACUUGCCCUUUAUUACCAUUCCACAUUUGAAAAUCAUUUAGUAGUUUUGCAAAUGAGUUUGUUUUUAUUGCUACAAUAGAGAAACAGUUAUCUGCAUCUUGUUUUCACUGCACCAAGUGCCAUAUUCUCGGGCAUCGGGAAGGCCCAGAUGGCAAGUUUAGCAGACAUUGGAAAUAAACGGAUUUCUUUAAAAAAGCAGGAGCUUGUAUCCAGGAAAAGGGGUGUUGCAUUUUAGAUGUAUUCCUGAAAUCAUGUCUACACACAGCUGACACAGUUAGCUGAAACAGAGUGGAGAGAUUAUAUGCAUCAACAUCUUCCACGGGAAAUC
rnacentral:lncRNA from 1 species